rnacentral:sRNA from 1 species
ACCUAGGCUUGAAACAAUUGAAACCAAGUAGCUAAAUAGAAAGAAGGAGGAGGAAACCUGUUGAGAUCUAGAGAAUGGGUCUAAUCUAUAUCGAA